rnacentral:rRNA from 1 species
UACGGAGGGGGCUAGCGUUGUUCGGAAUUACUGGGCGUAAAGCGCGCGUAGGCGGACCUGCAAGUCGGGGGUGAAAGCCCGAGGCUCAACCUCGGAACUGCCUUCGAUACUGCGGGUCUCGAGUCCGGGAGAGGUGAGUGGAAUUCCUAGUGUAGAGGUGAGAUUCGUAGAUAUUAGGAAGAACACCAGUGGCGAAGGCGGCUCACUGGCCCGGUACUGACGCUGAGGCGCGAAAGCGUGGGGAGCAAACAGG